rnacentral:rRNA from 1 species
UACGUAGGGUGCAAGCGUUGUCCGGAAUUAUUGGGCGUAAAGAGCUCGUAGGCGGUCUGUCGCGUCGGCUGUGAAAACUCGGGGCUCAACCCCGAGCCUGCAGUCGAUACGGGCAGACUUGAGUGCUGUAGGGGAGACUGGAAUUCCUGGUGUAGCGGUGAAAUGCGCAGAUAUCAGGAGGAACACCGGUGGCGAAGGCGGGUCUCUGGGCAGUUACUGACGCUGAGACGCGAAAGCGUGGGGAGCGAACAGG